rnacentral:rRNA from 1 species
CAGUCGUACCGGCGGAUAAUCAGCCUUUCGGGUGCGAUUCUGUGGGGCGUGAGGAGCUUAACCGCCUUCAUGUUUUGCAUAUUCGUGCACAUUUGGAAUGUGGCUGUCUUCGGGCAGUGUUAUAGCCUUGUGUUGUAUGUCUUGGUUGGGACUGAGGAACGCAGCGCGCCAUUUUGGCCGGGGGUCGCUCCUCUCGACACGCGCUUAGGAUGCUGGCAUAAUGGCUUUAAGCGGCCCGUCUUGAAACACGGACCAAGGAGUCUAACAUGUGUGCGAGUGUU